rnacentral:misc_RNA from 1 species
UUUCCGUAGGUGAACCUGCGGAAGGAUCAUUAAAAAAUUGGACUCCAUUGGUGAGUUCAUUAAUAAUCCCUACCCUUUGUGAAUUUGUUUGUUUGAAUAAUUUUUUUUCCAAAAAAAAUUAUUGAAUGUCUUUCCCUGUUUUGGUGGAGCUUGUAAAGUGAAACCAGGCAGGGGAAUGGCAAACAAUAAUUAUUUUUGAAAAAAGACCUUUUUUAAAAUUAAACUUUUUGUAUUCAUUUGUCUAAAAUUAUUUUAUAAUAUAAAAACAACUUUUGACAAUGGAUCUCUUGGUUCUCGCAACGAUGAAGAACGCAGCAAAAUGCGAUAAGUAGUGUGAAUUGCAGAAUACGUGAAUCAUCGAAUCUUCGAACGCAUAUUGCACUUUUUUAGUUUACUAAAAAGUAUGUCUGUUUGAGUAUCAGUAAAAUAUUCUCAUAAAAAACAUUGUUUUUUUAUGGUUAUGAGUGUUUUACAACGAUAACAAGUUGUUUCACUUUAAAUUCUUUGUUAUCAAAAAAUCAUUAAAAGCUAAUUUUAAAGAUUUUUUAAAAUUGGAUAAAAUUUUCCCGUAAAAAGGAAUAACCUAAACAAUUUUAAAAAAUUAAAAUUGGUUUGAUUUUUUUGAAACCCAAAGGAAAAAAAAACGAAAUUAACUUGAUCUCAGAUCAGAUAAGAGUACCCGCUGAACUUAAGCAUAUCAAUAAGCGGAGGAAAAGAAACUAACUAGGAUUCCCUCAGUAACGGCGAGUGAAGCGGGAAGAGCUCAAAUUUGAAAUCUUCAAGGUUUUACCUUGACGAAUUGUAGUUUAAAGAAGUGUUUUCUGUUGGAGUUUUGGUAAAAGUUCUUUGGAAAAGGACAUCAUAGAGGGUGAGAACCCCGUAUUUGACCAUUAUCUCCAGCUUUGUGAUACACUUUCAAAGAGUCGGAUUGUUUGGGAAUGCAGUCCAAAUGGGUGGUAAAUUUCAUCUAAAGCUAAAUACUGGCGAGAGACCGAUAGCGAACAAGUACCGUGAGGGAAAGAUGAAAAGAACUUUGAAAAGAGAGUUAAACAGUACGUGAAAUUGUCAAAAGGGAAGCGUUUGACACCAGUGUUGUUUUCUCGAAAAUCAAUUAAAAAAGGCCGGAUUUUGUGUUGUAUUGACUUUAUCAGCUUUCUGCACUUUUUUCUUGUCUUUUUUAAUGCACUUUUCGUUUAACAAGUCAACAUCAAUUUCUUUUGUUGUAAAAGGGUCAUUGGAAGGUGGCUUUCUUUUCGGAGAAAGUGUUUAUAGCCUUUGGCCUCUGCAAUCGGAGAGAUUGAGGUCUGCAGCGUAGAUCCUUCGGGGUUAGAUACAUUUGUGCUAAGUUAUAGCCUUUCAUAGACAACUUGUUGACUAUGAUCAGUCAUGUAGCUUACUCGCUUAUGCUAUUU